UGUCGGACGGCCAAAGUUGAAAGUAAAGACGACUGACAGUGUCAGAGCCGUGUCUGACCCUUCCCAGACAUCUAAAAAUCCUGUCGGACGGCCAAAGUCGAAAGUAAAGACGACUGACAAUGUCAGAGCCGUGUCUGACCCUUCCCAGACAUCAAAAGCUCAAACGGACAUUGUCACUGAGGCCACAGGCCAUGUACGUAAUGAGGACAUUAUACAGGC